GCCCCAGUGGCGCAAUCGGUUAGCGCGCCGUACUUAUAGACAGUACUUCCCUGUGUAUAUCACAGAAAGAGAUAUGCGGAGGCUGUGAGUUCGAUCCUCACCUGGGGCA